rnacentral:misc_RNA from 1 species
AAGAAUUAAUCCAUCGUAAAAUUAGCCUGAAAUUCAAAGCACGCGUGGGCGUUUGUAAUCCCACAGGUGCCCAGCAACUCCGUCGCAUGCUUGAAUUCUCUGCUUAUUUGCGACGGAAAGCGGCAAAGGGCACGGGAUGCAGCAAAAUCUACACACGGCCUGGCAGUGGCAUUCUCGUUAUUUCUAUCCAAAUCCGGUGGCGUUUCCAUUCUCUUCUCAUUUCCUCGUUCCCAUCGACGAAAGUCGAUCUUCUUUUAUAAAAACACCGAGAGAGAGAGAGAGAGAGAGA